AGCGAACGCUGGCGGCAGGCCUAACACAUGCAAGUCGAACGGAUCCUUCGGGAUUAGUGGCGGACGGGUGAGUAACACGUGGGAACGUGCCCUUUGGUUCGGAACAACUCAGGGAAACUUGAGCUAAUACCGGAUGUGCCCUUCGGGGGAAAGAUUUAUCGCCAUUGGAGCGGCCCGCGUCUGAUUAGCUAGUUGGUGAGGUAACGGCCCACCAAGGCGACGAUCAGUAGCUGGUCUGAGAGGAUGAUCAGCCACACUGGGACUGAGACACGGCCCAGACUCCUACGGGAGGCAGCAGUGGGGAAUCUUGCGCAAUGGGCGAAAGCCUGACGCGGCCAUGCCGCGUGAAUGAUGAAGGUCUUAGGAUUGUAAAAUUCUUUCAGCGGGGACGAUAAUGACGGUACCCGCAGAAGAAGCUCCGGCUAACUUCGUG
rnacentral:rRNA from 1 species